rnacentral:rRNA from 1 species
UGGGGAAUAUUGCACAAUGGGCGAAAGCCUGAUGCAGCGACGCCGCGUGAGGGAUGACGGCCUUCGGGUUGUAAACCUCUUUCAGCAGGGACGAAGCGCAAGUGACGGUACCUGCAGAAGACGCACCGGCUAACUACGUGCCAGCAGCCGCGGUAAUACGUAGGGUGCAAGCGUUGUCCGGAAUUACUGGGCGUAAAGAGUUCGUAGGCGGUUUGUCGCGUCGUUUGUGAAAACCAGCAGCUCAACUGCUGGCUUGCAGGCGAUACGGGCAGACUUGAGUACUGCAGGGGAGACUGGAAUUCCUGGUGUAGCGGUGAAAUGCGCAGAUAUCAGGAGGAACACCGGUGGCGAAGGCGGGUCUCUGGGCAGUAACUGACGCUGAGGAACGAAAGCGUGGGUAGCGAACAGG